UUUUCGAGAUUUUUGGCCUUAAACAUGUAUCUUAAAUACUUUUUCUAAUUUGGCUCACUUUGGUUUAUAUGAAAAAAUAAUAAAUCGACUCGAAUCCAACAUUAUCCGAACCAAUCUGAUUCGAAAAAUGUAUGCUUUCUAAACGGGUCCUAAACACCCCAACCUCAAUAACUUGAAAACUGAAUAACCAAAACCGACACAAACCUAAAACACGUAUGCACAUC
rnacentral:lncRNA from 1 species